CUGUUGUAUGAAAGGAGAGAAGGUUAGCACUCCCCCGGACAAGGAUGGAAGAGGCCCUUGGGCCUAACAACACCCAUAUGGUUAAGGCAUUGCCACCUACUUCACAUCUAACCACUGUUUUUU
rnacentral:ncRNA from 1 species